rnacentral:rRNA from 1 species
CUACGGGCGGCAGCAGUCGAGGAUCAUUUGCAAUGCGCGAAAGCGUGACAAUGCGACGCUGCGUGGAGGAUGACGGCCUUCGGGUUGUAAACUCCUGUCAUUCGGGAAAAAUUGUCUUGAGCUGAUAACGAUCGAGGCUUGAUGUUACCGAAAGAGGAAGCCACGGCUAACUCUGUGCCAGCAGCCGCGGUAAUACAGAGGUGGCAAGCGUUGUUCGGAUUUACUGGGCGUAAAGGGUGCGUAGGCGGUUCCGUAGGUCGGAUGUGAAAUCCCACCGCCCAACGGUGGAACUGCAUCCGAAACUGCGGUGCUAGAGUGCAGGAGGGGAGAGCGGAAUUCUUGGUGUAGCGGUGAUAUGCGUUGAUAUCAAGAGGAACACCGGCGGCGAAGGCGGCUCUCUGGAAUGCUACUGACGCUGAGGCACGAAAGCUGGGGGAGCAAACAGGAUUAGAUACCCGGGUAGUC